AGCCAUAUUCGGUCUGCUUUUUUAUUGUAGCGAAUAUUCUUAAAAUUAUCUGCUUUGUUCUUUCCAGGAAUUCGAUCGAGAUCUGCGAUUCACAACAACCAACCUAAACAUCUAGUUCAUUCACAGCCGCCCCUGCAGUCAUCACGGCCCGUUCAAAGGCCUCCCCGAGCUUCUCGAGCUUCUUUGCCUUGGCCUUGGCAUCUCUCCCCUUCCGGGCAAUCGAUCGCGAGUAGGGGUUUUCCUGUAGGAUGCGAUUUAUCUCCUUCUUGAAUUCCUUGCGGUCGAAGGAAUUCAUGGUGUCCCCGAUGGCAAUUUCCGUGGCAAGCAGGAGGUCAUGGAGCUUCUCCUUG
rnacentral:lncRNA from 1 species